rnacentral:rRNA from 1 species
CGAUGAAGCCUUUCGGGGUGGAUUAGUGGCGAACGGGUGAGUAACACGUGGGCAAUCUGCCCUUCACUCUGGGACAAGCCCUGGAAACGGGGUCUAAUACCGGAUAACACUCUGUCCCGCAUGGGACGGGGUUAAAAGCUCCGGCGGUGAAGGAUGAGCCCGCGGCCUAUCAGCUUGUUGGUGGGGUAAUGGCCUACCAAGGCGACGACGGGUAGCCGGCCUGAGAGGGCGACCGGCCACACUGGGACUGAGACACGGCCCAGACUCCUACGGGAGGCAGCAGUGGGGAAUAUUGCACAAUGGGCGAAAGCCUGAUGCAGCGACGCCGCGUGAGGGAUGACGGCCUUCGGGUUGUAAACCUCUUUCAGCAGGGAAGAAGCGAAAGUGACGGUACCUGCAGAAGAAGCGCCGGCUAACUACGUGCCAGCAGCCGCGGUAAUACGUAGGGCGCAAGCGUUGUCCGGAAUUAUUGGGCGUAAAGAGCUCGUAGGCGGCUUGUCACGUCGGAUGUGAAAGCCCGGGGCUUAACCCCGGGUCUGCAUUCGAUACGGGCUAGCUAGAGUGUGGUAGGGGAGAUCGGAAUUCCUGGUGUAGCGGUGAAAUGCGCAGAUAUCAGGAGGAACACCGGUGGCGAAGGCGGAUCUCUGGGCCAUUACUGACGCUGAGGAGCGAAAGCGUGGGGAGCGAACAGGAUUAGAUACCCUGGUAGUCCACGCCGUAAACGUUGGGAACUAGGUGUUGGCGACAUUCCACGUCGUCGGUGCCGCAGCUAACGCAUUAAGUUCCCCGCCU